CUGCCUUGCAGUUUGGUUAAAUGCCUUAUGCUGAAAGAGUUUUCGUUGCAAGAUGAGCCUUUGCAGGAUUAGGUAGUUGGUGAGGUAACAGCUCCACCAAGCCGAUGAUCCUUAGUUGGUCUGAGAGGAUGCACAACCACACUAGAACUGAGACAAGGUCUAGACAUCUGAGGAUGGCAGCAGUGGGGAAUCUUGAACAAUGAGCGAAAGCUCGAUUCAGCGAUGUAGAGUGAACGACGACAGCCAUUAGGUUGUAAAGUUCUUUUGGCGAGUACGAUUAUGACGCGAUCUCGUGGAAAAAGCCCUGGCAAAUUUCGUGCCAGCAGCCGCGGUGAUACGAAAAGGGCUAGUGUUAUUCAGAAUGAUUGGGCGUAAAGAGUGAGCAGGUUGUGACCACAGUUAAAAAUUAAAUCUUAGCAGUGACUGCUAAAUCAAUUUUUAAUAACAAGUCACUUGGGUCAAAGAGAGGAUUGCAGAAUUUCAAGUGGAGAAAUAAAAUUCGCAGAUUUUUGAAGGAAUGUCAAAAGCGAAGGCAACAAUCUGGCUUUACACCGACGCUGAUUCACGAAAGCUUGGGUAGCAAACAGGAUUAGAGACCCUGGUAGUCCAAGCCGUAAACGAUGAGCACUCAUUUUUGGACAAUAAUGGUUCAGAAAUUUAGCUAACGCGUUAAGUGCUCCGCCUGAGAAGUACAGCGGCAACGCUAAAACUCAAAGGAAUUGACGGGGAUUUAUACAAUUCGUGGAACAUGUGGUUUAAUUCGUAAAUACACGCAAAACCUUACCAACCUUUGAAUAAUUUUGUAAUUCUGAUGAAGAAAUUUGUUAUGUUAAGAAUUACAGGUGCUGCAUGGCUGUCGUCAGCUCGUGUCUUGAGAUGUUAGGUUAAGUCCAGCAACGAGCGAAACCCUUUUUCUUUGUUACAAAAGAAUUUUUAGUUGAUUUUAUAAAUUGAUUUAUGUUUAUGUACUUGAAGAGCAUUGCCUGCGACAUGCGGGAUGAAAGAAAGGAUGACGUCAAGUCUUCAUGGCCCUUAUAGGUUGGGCUACACAUGUGUUACAACGAUGACAACAGCAAGUUGCAAUGAUGAAAAUUGAAGCAAAUCUUUUAAAAGUCAUCUCAGUUCGGAUCAUUUUCUGAAACUUGAAAAUGUGAAGUUGGAAUGAAUAGUAAUCGUCUAUCAGCAAGGGACGGUGAAUUUUGUACCUAAAUCUUGUACAUACCGCCCGUCACAUCAAGAGAGUUUGCUCAACUUGAAGGCACCGUUGGCAGCUGAACCUCAGACUCUUUGGGCAGCUCACGAUUGUUCAUUUUCUGUCGUUCGAAGACAGGCUGUGCUUAGAACUGAGAAAAUUA
rnacentral:rRNA from 1 species